rnacentral:rRNA from 1 species
UACGUAGGGGGCAAGCGUUGUCCGGAUUUAUUGGGCGUAAAGAGCGUGUAGGCAGCCACACAGGUCUGCUGUGAAAACUCGAGGCUCAACCUCGAGCUGUCGGUGGAAACCGUGUGGCUAGAGUCCGGAAGAGGAGAGUGGAAUUCCCGGUGUAGCGGUGAAAUGCGCAGAUAUCGGGAAGAACACCCGUGGCGAAGGCGGCUCUCUGGGACGGUACUGACGCUGAGACGCGAAAGCGUGGGGAGCGAACAGG